GCGCUGGACCGUGUACAAGUCUCCUGGAACGGAGCGUCAUAGAGGGUGAGAAUCCCGUCUUUGACACGGACUACCAGUGCUUUGUGAUGCGCUCUCAAAGAGUCGAGUUGUUUGGGAAUGCAGCUCAAAAUGGGUGGUGAAUUCCAUCUAAAGCUAAAUAUUGGCGAGAGACCGAUAGCGAACAAGUACCGUGAGGGAAAGAUGAAAAGCACUUUGGAAAGAGAGUUAAACAGUACGUGAAAUUGUUGAAAGGGAAACACUUGAAGUCAGUCGCGUUCCUCGAGACUCAGCCUUGCCUUUCCGGCCUGGUGUACUUCUCGUUGAACGGGCCAGCAUCAAUUUUGAUCGUCGGAUAAAGGCGAGAGGAAGGUGGCACCCCUCGGGGUGUGUUAUAGCCUUUCGUCACAUACGACGGUUGGGAUUGAGGACCGCAGCACGCCUUUAAUGGUCGGGGUUCGCCCACGUUUCGUGCUUAGGAUGCUGGCGUAAUGGCUUUAAAUGACCCGUCUUGAAACACGGACCAAGGAGUCUAACAUGCCCGCGAGUGUUCGGGUGGAAAACCCGUGCGCGUAAUGAAAGUGAAAGUUGGGACCUCUGUCGUGGGGGGCACCGACGCCCGGACCAGACCUUCUGUGACGGAUCUGCGGUAGAGCGUGUAUGUUGGGACCCGAAAGAUGGAGAACUAUGCCUGAAUAGGGUGAAGCCAGAGGAAACUCUGGUGGAGGCUCGUAGCGAUUCUGACGUGCAAAUCGAUCGUCAA
rnacentral:rRNA from 1 species